CCGCGCCGCCACCAUCCUCCGCGUCCGCCACCGCCAUCCUCCCCGUCCGCCACCGCCGCCCCCAUCCUCCCUGUCUGCCGCCGCCAUGCCAUCGCCGCCACCUACCGGACGGCGCUGUGAAGGAAGCGACUAGAGAGGGAGGCGUCGCCGGUGUCGUGGACCCAUGCCGGCGCAACGGCGUGUGCGCGUGCCUCCGCGGGUUCGCGCAGCGGUCGCCGGAGGCGUCGCGGGUCAACUGCGUCGGGAAGGAUGGGCGCGCGCCACGCCGCUCUUCCCCGACACAACGUCCGCCGUUCUUCCUUGGUCGGGCAGUGGUCAAGUGCUUCUUCAAGCUGGGCCGCACGGUGGGAGAGGAGCCCCAGGCCGCAUGCUUCUUCUUGCGCUCCAUCGGGAGAGACCUCGAGGAUGCCAAGAUCUGCAAUGGCCUGAAGAACGAGGCAAUUCUUGGAAGCAACACGUACAUGUGGUCUUUCUUUCACUAUGAUUCCAAGGUUGUUUCUCUCCAUAUUCCAUUCCUCUCACAAAAUUUUCUUUUCUUGGGCUUUUACUUUAUUAUGUGUGUGCUAUGCUACUGACAAAAUAUCUAAUUCUGGUGCUUAAUUAUCAUGUCUAUGUAAGCAUCAUGUUCUCCUCUGUUUAAUCUCAUUAUUGCUGUGUAAAGGGAAAUCAAGGAUUACUUUUCUUGGUACAUAUGCAGUGUAUUUUUGUUUUGAGUAGUAACAGUUCAGUUAGAGGUGAAAUAAAUAAUCAAAGUACAGUACAAUCGUUUAUCGUCCGUGAAUCUUCUUCUUUCCCCGUUUAUCGUCCCGCCGACGUGCUCUUGAGGCAGCUGAUCCUAACUUAGGCUGCCGCCACUUGGUGCUCAGAAUCACAACGUCUCCGUGGAGCCGCAGUGGAUAGCAUGGUCUUGUCGCCAUGCUGGGGACGCAGCGGCAGCAUAUAUCCAGUCCAGAUCCGCUGGUUUCAGAUCAACGGAUUACCCCAGUUCAUCUUCCUACUCGCUUCUUUUCUCCUCACACACACAUCCCUGCAAAUUAGACUGUUUUUUUUACAUCUCUUCAUUCCAGUGGUGCAAUUUGCCAUUUAGUACUGAUUAGUUUACACUGAUUUAUGUCAGAUCUAACCAGAUUGAAUCAUUAACUGAUGGAGGAUUUGGAUGCCCCACACACUGUAAGUCUAUUGUGCCACAAUGUUUCUUUUUUUUCUACCGUCAUUGUUUGCUUCAUCCCUCUUUUUUGUAAGGGUGGUGAUAUGAUAAGUGAUAAUGACUCUCCAGAAGUUUAAAUUAUUUGAUACAUGGGAUUGGUCCAGAUGAUAUUGACUGUUCCGAUAUAACACCAGAACUUUAGCUUUCUCGGGAAUGUGACGAUGGCUUCCAUGAAAAAAUUCAUCGAAGUGACUGUCGAUGACCUACAGGAGCGUAGCAGACUCGAUGUGGCAACCGGGUCGCUCCUGAAUGCGGUCAAGUAGUGCCACCUGGCCGGUGAAGUGGCCGACAGCAGGAAUUCCGUCGUCGACAUCGUCGAGAUUCGCUUCAAGGGCCUGGAAGAUGCUCAACAACCAAAUCGUCGUCUCGUCCUCUCCAAGAGAAGGGGCCAACUCAAGCAGGUACAUCUGCUCGCUACAGCUCGCUCCUCCUCCCUUCUUCUCUAUUCCAUGGUUGAUUGUGUCAAACUUGAGCUGGUAGCUACUAUUCAGAUAUGUAACUUAGAUUUCAUGUCCUGCCUCUCGGGUAUGUGCUUAUUGUGGUUGCAGUCCUGUCGACUGAAAUGUUGUUCUUGGGUGCUAAAUUAAUUUGGUUAUCCUAUCAGCUCCAAGUUUCCAGUUUAUAAUUAUAUAUGAGACAUAGCUGCUUUGUUGUUGGUUGUUCUGGUCGAUUCUUUUGUUUUCUGAUACUCUGCUUGUUGCGAUUUGAAUGCUACCUAUGUUGAUAUACUGGUAAUUGUUUGGUUGCCUCGGUUGUGAUUCUAAGAUUUCUUAUUUACUUUGAUUAUGAUGUUUGUUGUGGUUGAUUCUGCUACAUCUUUCUAUUUCAGGACUUUGUGUUGUUGGUUGGUCUGUGUUGUUGUUUUUAUCGUCUUCAGGCGAGCCAUGCUCUUUCCCCCGUAUUUUGGUAUCUAUAUACCUGCGUCCUUCUGAUCUUUUUCAAACUGCCAUUUUCCCCCUUCUAGGUCUGUUGGGGUGUUUUUUCUUUUAUUCCUUAAUUUGUCACAUGCAUCUUUUGCUUGUGUUAGUCGUUUGUGCCUCUUUUCGAGGCUCUUACUGCCAACUGCCUUUUCGUUCAUAUGUUCGUGAGUGACACGAUGGAUCUGUGCUUGGAGGGGUGGACCAAUGUAUAUGUCGCGCAAGAGACCAACUGAUCCCAAACAUUGUUUUUCUUUACUGUUCGCUAUGGCAGAUAUCGGGCAGGCAUCGUCUUCCUGUUUUGCCUGAGGUGUGCCUCAGCUGGGGCAUUUUGAAAUGUGCUAUUACUGUCGUGGUCUUUUCUUUUGCAACAUGGUAAUAUUUUUGUCAAUUUGGAGUUGUUUGGUCUGACUAUAUAUAUGUCUUUGGUAAUAUAAUGGAUUGGAACGAAAUGGCCGGCUCUGUUUAUAUGCCAGGAGGGCCUGUGUUCUACCCUACUCUUAUCAUGGUAGCUGAUUGUCCUGUCCCUCUGUUGGUAUGCUCAUGGACAAUUGUAUGUUAUCAUGUUAGCUGAUUGUCCUGCGUUGUAUUAGUAUAUACUCGAAUACAUGAUUUUUUUCUCUUUGGCUACUGAAUUUUAUUGCUAUUCUUCUGCACACAUGUACAUGCGGCUCCGGUUCUAUUAUACUGUACAUCAGGUUCAGUAUUCACAAUUAUUUUCAUGAGUCCAAGGAUAGUUCUGUUUGGUGUCGUGCCCUGUAUGAUUAAUGUUCAUGAUUUAAUUACAAGUGAAAACAUUUGUAUCCGUUGAAACGCAAUGGUUUUCCCCCUGCAUUGUGAUAAUUAAUUUACAUUUGCACUAUAGUAGGCUCCAAAUCCUAUUAAGUGUGAUACGAAUGGGAAUGGAAUAUUUAUGAAUAAGAAAGCUUUCUUACUCCUGUUGGAUUUUAUGUCGUAGCAAUAUCCCUGUUUUUGUUUCCCUGCAAGACUCGAGCUAUAUGUAAUAGUGCUAUAACUUUCAGCAUCUCCUAAAGUACAUCCUAAGUUGUACUCAAUCACCACUACUAUUUUAAUUUCCAUUGCAGCUUUCUGAAAUAAGUUUAUCCGUCUUGCUGAAUGUUAAAAAAAACAGAAGGUAUCUUAAGUACAACCAUAGACUGCCUGCACAGUCCUUCCAAAGGAAAAAAAUCUGACUCGAUGUUUUGAUUCAGCAGCAUUGCUUUUCAGAUAAUAUAGGAGAGUGGAAGGUUCAUGCUCAUUUUUCUUUUUUGUAUUUUUUCUUGUUCAUGCUUAUACUAUUUAUUCUUGCAAAUAUGUACUAUUGAAAUAGAAAGAUCAUCUUGUGUGUUCAGACCCAUACACUUAUCCUGCAAUAUGUGAAGGAAUGCUUAUAUUGGCAUCCUGCUGUAGAAAAUGGUUAGCUUAGCAGCAACUAUUGUGUCUUCUAAUUAUGUCGCCUCAAAUUUGUAGGAACGCUAUUGUUGCUUUCGAAAUGCUAUUGGAUCUUAUAAAUUUUUUUGGACCUGUUAUUCAUUCAACAUUGUCAGUUAGCUCACUCGUUGGAGUAGAACUUCAAGCCGAACAGAGGUAUGCUCUCCAACUUUACUCGGGGAAGGGAACUGGGUGUUGCUAAGAGAGAUGUUUUAAAAACUUGUGUUGCUACAAGCCACUAAGGAACUCGGUCUGAGGUGGCGAGUUUGUCGCGAACUUAUGUUUUGCUUAUACUGGUCCUGUCCCUGAUAAGGGUGUGUGUAUCGAGUGUUUGCCAAUUUAGUUCUGGCAUGUUGAGUCCAUGGACAAGUAUGGAUUAUUCUCUAUAGCUUUAGCCAAUUUAGGAGACAACCGCUGUUUUCCUGCACAUUUGCAUAUAGUUUCAGUCGCUAUGAUAGUAAACUCGCUCUCAACGACUCCGAUCUUACAAAAUGUUAGGUCUCCUUAGUUCCAAAUAUGGUUUUACAGGUUCUAAAAUUAUUUCUUUGAUGCGAGGUGCCAUGCUGUGGAUAACAAGGAGAUUAUCAAGGCGGAGCGGCGGUGAGUAUGGAGCUCAUAAUCAUCAGUUCAUCACCAUGAAGCAGAAGGAAUGGUAUAGCUUUGCCAUGAUAAAGAAAAACCCACACAAGCACACCUGUCCACCUGGAGGGGGAGGGGGAAGGCCAAAACCAAGCUAGCAAAAACUAGGUGGGUGGCAGAUGCUAUAUUGGAUUGGCUGAGAGAAGAACCUGGACUUGGUCCAACAACACUCCAUGGGAAACUUUUUGAGAAGUACAAGAUAGAAAUUCCUUACAUGAGAAUUUUCAAUGCUAGGGAAAAGGCUCUUGACAGAAUUAAUGGUCAAUGGAAUGACAGUUUUCAGCUGCUUUACACUUUCAAAGCUGAAGUGGAGAUGGCAAGUCCAGGGAGUGUUGUAGAGAUUGACAAGCAUACAGUUCCAAUCAAAAUAAAAGGGAAGUCAUUUCAGAAGGAGUGCUUCAGAAGGGCU